rnacentral:rRNA from 1 species
GAUGAACGCUGGCGGCGUGCCUAAUACAUGCAAGUCGAGCGCACAAGUGAGGAGCUUGCUCCUCUGACGUUUGCGGCAGGCGGGAGAGUAACACGUGGAUACCCUCCCUAUAAGACUGGGAUCACUUGGAGAAGACGGAGAUAAUACCAGAUGAUAUGUUGAACCAUGUGGUUCGCUAGUAAGAGGCGGUUUUGUUGUUACUAGUAGGUCGUGCGUCGCAUCAGUUAGUUGUUGGUGUAACGACUUACCAAGGCGACGAUGCUUAGCCGACCAGGUAGGGUGACCGGCAACACUGGACCGGAGACACGGUCCAGACUCCUACGGGAGGCAGCAGUAGGGAACCUUCCGCAAUGGGCGAAAGCCUGACGGAGCAACCCCGCGUGAGUGAUGAGGGUCUUCGGUUCGUAAAACCCGUUGAUUAGGGAAGAACAAAUGUGUAAGUAACUAUGCACGUCGUGACGGUACCUAAUCAGAAAGCCACGGCUAACUACGUG